UACAGGGGGUGCAAACGUUGCUCGGAAUUAUUGGGCGUAAAGCGCGCGUAGGCGGCCGCUUAAGUCGGAUGUGAAAGCCCCUGGCUCAACUGGGGAAGUGCACCCGAAACUGAGUGGCUUGAGUACUAAAGAGGGUCGCGGAAUUCCCGGUGUAGAGGUGGAAUUCGUAGAUAUCGGGAGGAACACCGGUGGCGAAGGCGGCGACCUGGGUAGAUACUGACGCUGAGGCGCGAAAGCGUGGGGAGCAAACAGG
rnacentral:rRNA from 1 species